rnacentral:rRNA from 1 species
CACGUAAGUCUCAAGCGUUGUUCGGAAUUAUUGGGCGUAAAGGGCAUGUAGGCGGUAUCCUAAGCUUGGUGUGAAAGGCAGGAGCUUAACUCCUGGACUGCACUGAGAACUGGGAUGCUAGAGUUACUGAAGUGGAAUCAGAAUUCCAGGUGUAGGGGUGAAAUCUGUAGAUAUCUGGAAGAAUACCAAUGGCGAAGGCAGGUUUCAGGCAGAUAACUGACGCUGAGGUGCGAAGGUGCGGGGAGCAAAC